GCCCCAGUAGCUCAGGGGAUAGAGCACUGGCCUCCGGAGCCGGGAGCGCAGGUUCGAUUCCUGCCUGGGGCA
rnacentral:tRNA from 1 species